GUUUAUAUAAGAUUGUGUCAUUUAAGCAUUUCUUUUUAUUGGAUUCAUUGUUUAUCUCAGGGCUUGUCACUUUACGUAAUAUUGAAGUGAAUAUUUUUAUAAAUUGUUGCUUGCAUUUCUGAUUAUUUUUUCUAGGUACAUUUCUAUAUGUGGGAUUAUGGAUUAAAGAAGUUAAACAAUCUAUGCUUUAAUGCAUUACAAUCUAAUAAUUAAAACGGGAAGAAAAUUCUUUUAUAACUCCUGGAGCAGUUGUUUUUAAAGUGCUCUGUCAUAUCCCCUAGAGUAUAACUCUUGAGGAAGGGAGAGCAACACACUGGAGGUGACUUCUUUUUUGUCCCUUUCUUACAGCAAAUGAAACUUUUUCAUAACAAAGAUGCAUUUCAAAAUGUCAAGUCUGAAAAAAAGUAAAGUCAAGGUGUGUUACUUCAUAUAGCUAAUGUUUAUCAGGUAAAAAUUGUGAAACUGACUUUAACUCCUGCUCAAAUUUGUAUGGGAAAAUAUUUAGAUCUUGGUGAGAGUAUGGAGAGAACACGGUUUCUUACUCAUUCUGCUUAUUCCAGAAGGGCUUGGGGAUCACAUAGAGGUGGGGCUUCAUAGAAGAUGGGACACAUCUGCAUCACAGAAAAAGACUGUUUUGAAAUGUUCUUGACAAUGGACAGAAGAGGAAGAAGAGAAAGUACAGGAGACCAAAGGUUGGCGGAAAGCUGCAGUGUGAUUUUACCCACACCCCUCCCCCAUUCUCCACCUAUCAUUAUGUGGGUUCCAUCCUAACUUCUACUGAUCGCGACAGUCAUGUGUUUUGUGCCUCUCUGCACAGCCAGCAACCACACUUCAGGCCCAAAGGAAGAAGGACUUAGCAGGCUCCGAAAAUGCUAGAAAUGAAGAUGCUGUUGGUUUUAAUGGUAGAUUUAGUUGUAGACAAAAAUGAUAGUCUGUGGAAAUCUGUGUCAUUACUUUGAAAGAACAAAAGCACAUGGGAUUAGUAGGACCACAUAUGGGUUGCCAAAAAUGUCAACUUGGAUUGUGCAUAGAGACAUGCUCAAGGAUUUAGGUCACCAAUCAUGUCUGGUGGUAAUGCAUAUUUUGUAGAGUAGUUUUAUCAAGUUAGGGAUGUACACUCAGGGUUCUUUCCACCAAAAGAUGAAUGCUCGAAGAGUUGAGUGCUUUUUGUUUUCAUUGUACAGUGUUUGUAAUGGUCCUGUCUCCAUUUCUCACUAUGCUUCUCUUCUAAGAGAAUAUUUUUUGAAGUAAAAUCUCAUUAAAAUUUA
rnacentral:lncRNA from 1 species